rnacentral:rRNA from 1 species
UACGAAGGGGGCUAGCGUUGUUCGGAAUUACUGGGCGUAAAGCGUAUGCAGGCGGACUUUUAAGUCGGGGGUGAAAUCCCGAGGCUCAACCUCGGAACUGCCUUCGAUACUGGAAGUCUUGAGUCCGGGAGAGGUGAGUGGAACUCCGAGUGUAGAGGUGAAAUUCGUAGAUAUUCGGAAGAACACCAGUGGCGAAGGCGGCUCACUGGCCCGGUACUGACGCUGAGAUACGAAAAGCGUGGGGAGCCAAACAGGAUU